UGGCGGACGNGNGNUGNANGNNUNANNANUGCAUAGGUAACGUGCCCCUUAGUCUGGGAUAGCCACUGGAAACGGGUGAAUAAUACCGGAUACUCCUUCUCACUUAAUGUGAGUCGGGGAAAGUUUUUCACUAAGGGAUCGGCCUAUGUCCUAUCAGGUAGUUGGUGAGGUAAGAGCUCACCAAGCCUAUGACGGGUAGCGGGUCUGAGAGGAUGAUCCGCCACACUGGUACUGAGACACGGACCAGACUCCUACGGGAGGCAGCAGUGGGGAAUAUUGCACAAUGGACGAAAGUCUGAUGCAGCAACGCCGCGUGGAGGAUGACACAUUUCGGUGCGUAAACUCCUUUUAUAUGAGAAGAUAAUGACGGUAUCAUAUGAAUAAGCACCGGCUAACUCCGUGCCAGCAGCCGCGGUAAUACGGAGGGUGCAAGCGUUAUUCGGAAUCACUGGGCGUAAAGGGUGCGUAGGCGGUUUGGAAAGUCAGAUGUGAAAUCCUACAGCUUAACUGUAGAACUGCAUUUGAAACUUCCAGACUAGAAUACUGAAGGGGCAGAUGGAAUUAGUGGUGUAGGGGUAAAAUCCGUAGAUAUCACUAGGAAUACCGAAAGCGAAAGCGAUCUGCUGGGAAGUUAUUGACGCUGAGGCACGAAAGCGUGGGGAGCAAACGGGAUUAGAUACCCCGGUAGUCCACGCCCUAACGAUGAAUGCUAGUCGUCGGAAGCUCGUCUUUCGGUGAUGCAGUUA
rnacentral:rRNA from 1 species